rnacentral:tRNA from 1 species
GUCGCCAUAGUUUAGUGGUUAGAAUUCCUGCCUGUCACGCAGGGGGCCGGGGUUCGAUUCCCCGUGGUGGCG